ACCCGUCCGAACACUCGUCCAGCUUUGCUGCGGAUCAGUUCCAGACUGUCAGGAUUCUUCUUCUGAGGCAUCAGGCUGCUGCCAGAGCUGCAAGGAAGGUGUUUGGAGUGCAAUGGCGCUCAGAGUCACGGGUCAGAGCAACAGCAUGGCUGGGAAAGGACAGGAGAGAUGAAACACCUGAAGCUGGAAAAUGUCACAACCCAGGAGUGUGCAACUUUCCAGCUACAUCUCCAAUCAGCUCCUGAGGACAAGAGGAGGAUUUCUGUCAGUAUCUCUGUAUUUUAAGCAAGAGGCUCCAUGAGCAGAUCUUCCCCCUGCCUGUGAGUAGCCAUGGGAUGUGUUCUGGGGAAGGGCAAGUUUGGGUUCUGUGUUUGUACAGUGACACUUCCAAGGAAGGGGGCUUGGAGACACUGGAUUGUGCACUUGGGGUCCAGAGGAAUUUCACAGAGGGACAGAGGCACAUGCCCUUAACAUCAGGCAGAUCCAGCUACAGAGGAAGAGGAACAAGAGGACAGAGAACCCAAACCUUUAGCCUGCGUUCGUUGGCAGUGUGGAUAUCCUCAUCAGUUUGGAUCACACCAAAGACUCCUUUGGACCAUUCCUCAGAGAUCUACAAACACCAGCAGAAACACCAGUCAGCUACAACAGUUACCCUGCUGGGGGGGGGGGGCUGUAAGGAUCCCCAGCAAAUUCUUGCCAUCCGCAUGAAAAUUUAAUCCCAAAGAGUUAAGUCUCAUGUGAGCUCUGGUUUUCAGGCCAAGGCUGGCUGCUUGCUGUAUCCUGAUAUUUUGUACUACUGGGGUUCAUCUCUCUACCCAUGGCAAUCCUGCAGUGUUAUGGCUCUAGGAGGAUUUAAGCAUUGCAAGGAAGAAGUGAGCCAAAACGUCAUAGAUUGCUUUAGCAUUGUCCACAAAGGUUUUCCUAUAAAACAUUGUACAGACUCACCGUUGUCCGUGGUGGGUGAGGAACAACAAUGGAUAUUUUAAAAAAAGCGCUUUGCUGCUGACUCCUCUUCCCCCCUACCCAUGCUAUCCAUUGCCUCCUACCAGAGGGCAGCCAGACCCUAAAGGAGCCCACGUGCCAGCAGGAAAAGAAUGUUCUUACUUCAUACUGAAAGGAUUCCUAGUGAAUGUUCAGUCUGAAGAGGAUGGGACACGAGGACAUUUAAGGACGCUCUUUAGAACAGCAGCUCAGAUGCUGUCAGGGAUGCUGCUUCCACCACACCCCCGGGAAGCCUUUUCCAAACGAAAUAGGGAAAGACUCGAAGCUCACGAACGCCAGAGCACCCGGAGACCACCCCGCCGGGAAAGCAAAGGUCCCCCUCACCUCGGCUGCCAUUUCGGACGACGUUUUGCUCGUUUGUGCGGCGAUCCUGGCAACUGGUGCAACCUGCGGGACAGCGCGGGUGAUGCUCAGCCCUGCCCCGGGCCGUGCCCCGA